UACGUAGGGGGCUAGCGUUGUCCGGAAUCAUUGGGCGUAAAGCGCGCGUAGGCGGCCCGGUAAGUCCGCUGUAAAAGUCAAAGGCUCAACCUUUGAAUGUCAGUGGAUACUGCCGGGCUAGAGUCCGGAAGAGGCGAGUGGAACUCCUGGUGUAGCGGUGGAAUGCGCAGAUAUCAGGAAGAACACCAACGGCGAAGGCAGCUCGCUAGGACGGUACUGACGCUGAGACGCGAAAGCGUGGGGAGCGAACAGG
rnacentral:rRNA from 1 species